rnacentral:rRNA from 1 species
UACGUAGGGCGCAAGCGUUAUCCGGAAUUAUUGGGCGUAAAGAGCUCGUAGGCGGUUUGUCGCGUCUGCCGUGAAAGUCCGGGGCUCAACUCCGGAUCUGCGGUGGGUACGGGCAGACUAGAGUGAUGUAGGGGGAGACUGGAAUUCCUGGUGUAGCGGUGGAAUGCGCAGAUAUCAGGAGGAACACCGGUGGCGAAGGCGGUGGGCUGGGCCGGAACUGACGCUGAGGAGCGAAAGCGUGGGGAGCGAACAGG